GAUGAACGCUGGCGGCGUGCUUAACACAUGCAAGUCGAACGAUGAAGCCCAGCUUGCUGGGUGGAUUAGUGGCGAACGGGUGAGUAACACGUGAGUAACCUGCCCUUAACUCUGUGAUAAGCCUGGGAAACUGGGUCUAAUACCGGAUAGGAGCGUCCACCGCAUGGUGGGUGUUGGGAAGAUUUAUCGGUUUUGGAUGGACUCGCGGCCUAUCAGCUUGUUGGUGAGGUAAUGGCUCACCAAGGCGACGACGGGUAGCCGGCCUGAGAGGGUGACCGGCCACACUGGGACUGAGACACGGCCCAGACUCCUACGGGAGGCAGCAGUGGGGAAUAUUGCACAAUGGGCGAAAGCCUGAUGCAGCGACGCCGCGUGAGGGAUGACGGCCUUCGGGUUGUAAACCUCUUUCAGUAGGGAAGAAGCGAAAGUGACGGUACCUGCAGAAGAAGCACCGGCUAACUACGUG
rnacentral:rRNA from 1 species